GCUGCUUAUCUAGGCCAAAUUUUGAAUUCUGGUAAACAAGAUGUGCGCGCUUACUCCGUGCCGAUUUGAAUGAGAAGACUUUGCACCAUAUAAACCACAAUAAAAACCUCGGGAUUUAUUAACUCUGAAUGCAUGGUGUUGGUUGCAUCAUCCGUAUUUUCAAAUUCCCACAUUCAAAAGACCCGCCUUUGGUGAAGGCAAAGGUAUUGUGCUUUUCUUUCCGAGGGGCAGACUCCUUAUCAGCCUUUUCAGUGUAUGUGAUUCUAACUAAGUCUUAUAGAUCCGCCGCUCUUUUCUACCUA